AUUGAACGCUGGCGGCAUGCCUUACACAUGCAAGUCGAACGGCAGCACGGGAGCAAUCCUGGUGGCGAGUGGCGAACGGGUGAGUAAUAUAUCGGAGCGUGCCCAGUAGUGGGGGAUAGCCCGGCGAAAGCCGGAUUAAUACCGCAUACGACCUGAGGGUGAAAGCGGGGGAUCGCAAGACCUCGCGCUAUUGGAGCGGCCGAUAUCAGAUUAGCUAGUUGGUGGGGUAAAGGCCUACCAAGGCUACGAUCUGUAGUUGGUCUGAGAGGACGACCAGCCACACUGGGACUGAGACACGGCCCAGACUCCUACGGGAGGCAGCAGUGGGGAAUUUUGGACAAUGGGCGCAAGCCUGAUCCAGCAAUGCCGCGUGCAGGAAGAAGGCCUUCGGGUUGUAAACCGCUUUUGUCAGGGAAGAAAUCUUCUGGGCUAAUACCCCGGGAGGAUGACGGUACCUGAAGAAUAAGCACCGGCUAACUACGUG
rnacentral:rRNA from 1 species